AGAGUUUGAUCCUGGCUCAGAUUGAACGCUAGCGGCAUGCUUAACACAUGCAAGUCGAACGGUAACAGGCGGAGCUUGCUCUGCGCUGACGAGUGGCGGACGGGUGAGUAAUGCUUAGGAAUCUGCCCAGUAGCGGGGGACAACAUGGUGAAAACCAUGCUAAUACCGCAUACGCCCUACGGGGGAAAGCAGGGGAUCUUCGGACCUUGCACUAUUGGAUGAGCCUAAGUCAGAUUAGCUUGUUGGUGGGGUAAAAGCCUACCAAGGCGACGAUCUGUAGCUGGUCUGAGAGGACGAUCAGCCACACUGGAACUGAGACACGGUCCAGACUCCUACGGGAGGCAGCAGUGGGGAAUAUUGCACAAUGGGGGAAACCCUGAUGCAGCAAUGCCGCGUGUGUGAAGAAGGCCCGAGGGUUGUAAAGCACUUUCAGUAUUAGGGUUGUAAAGUACUUUCAAUAGUGAAGAUUAUGACGGUAGCUAUAGAAGAAGCCCCGGCUAAAUUCGUGCCAGCAGCCGCGGUAAUACGAAUGGGGCAAGCGUUGUUCGGAAUAACUGGGCUUAAAGCGUGCGCAGGCGGAUAUGAAAGUCAGAAGUGAAAUCCCAGGGCUCAACCCUGGAACUGCUUUUGAAACUCCAUAUCUAGAAUCCGGUAGAGGUCAAGAAAUUCCUAGUGUAGAGGUGAAAUUCGCAGAUAUUAGGAGGAAUACCAGUGGCGUAGGCGCUUGACUGGACCGGUAUUGACGCUCAUGUACGAAAGCGUGGGGAGCAAACAGGAUUAGAUACCCUGGUAGUCCACGCCGUAAACCAUGUAUGCUAGUCGUUGGAGUCUUAAGGCUUCAGUGACGCAGAGACAUUAAGCACUCCGCCUGGGGACUACGGUCGCAAGAUUAAAACUCAAAGGAAUUGACGGGGGCUCGCACAAGUGGUGGAGCAUGCGGUUUAAUUCGAUGCUACGCGAAAAACCUUACCAACCCUUGACAUGGGUGGUCGCGGAUCACAGAGAUGAGAUCCUUCAGUUAGGCUGGACUACACACAGGUGUUGCAUGGCUGUCGUCAGCUCGUGUCGUGAGAUGUUGGGUUAAGUCCCGCAACGAGCGAAACCCUCAUCCUUAUUUGCCAGCGAGUAAUGUCGGGGACUAUAAGGAAACUGCCGGUGAUAAGCCGGAGGAAGGUGAGGAUGAUGUCAAGUCAUCAUGGCCCUUAUGGGUUGGGCUACACACGUGCUACAAUGGCGGUGACAAUAAGCAGCUACGUCGUGAGAAGGUGCUAAUCCCUAAAAACCGUCUCAGUUCGGAUUGCACUCUGCAACUCGAGUGCAUGAAGUUGGAAUCGCUAGUAAUCGUGGAUCAGCAUGCCACGGUGAAUACGUUCCCGGGCCUUGUACACACUGCCCGUCACGCCAUGGGAGUUGGUUUUACCUGAAGCCGGUGGGCUGACCUUUUUGGAGGCAGCCGUCCACGGUAGGGCCAGCGACUGGGGUGAAGUCGUAACAAGGUAACC
rnacentral:rRNA from 1 species